GGCACCGGCGGUGGAAGCUCCACCUUCGGCGGCUUAGGCGGACAUGGCUUCUUCGGUGGCUUGUGUACCGGAACUGGAGGUGGGUGCUCUAUCUUUGGCGGUGGCUUGUAAACCGGAACCGAAGGUGGGUGCUCUAUCUUUGGCGGUGGCUUGUAAACCGGAACCGAAGGUGGGUGCUCUAUCUUUGGCGGUGGCUUGUAAACCGGAACUGGAGGUGGGUGCUCUAUCUUUGGCGGUGGCUUGUAAACCGGAACCGGAGGUGGGUGCUCUAUCUUCGGCGGUUUAGGUGGACAAGGCUUCUUAGGAAUAGGCGGUGGAAGCUCCACCUUUGGUGAUGGCUCGUAAAUCGGGACAGGUGGGGGAACCUCUUUCUUUGGCGGUGGAUCGUAAACCGGAACCGGAG
rnacentral:lncRNA from 1 species